rnacentral:rRNA from 1 species
GAUGAACGCUGGCGGCGUGCCUAAUACAUGCAAGUCGAGCGAAUGGAUUAAGAGCUCGCUCUUAUGAAGUUAGCGGCGGACGGGUGAGUAACACGUGGGUAACCUGCCCAUAAGACUGGGAUAACUCCGGGAAACCGGGGCUAAUACCGGAUAACAUUUUGAACCGCAUGGUUCGAAAUUGAAAGGCGGCUUCGGCUGUCAAUUAUGGAUGGACCCGCGUCGCAUUAGCUAGUUGGUGAGGUAACGGCUCACCAAGGCAACGAUGCGUAGCCGACCUGAGAGGGUGAUCGGCCACACUGGGACUGAGACACGGCCCAGACUCCUACGGGAGGCAGCAGUAGGGAAUCUUCCGCAAUGGACGAAAGUCUGACGGAGCAACGCCGCGUGAGUGAUGAAGGCUUUCGGGUCGUAAAUCUCUGUUGUUAGGGAAGAACAAGUGCUAGUUGAAUAAGCUGGCACCUUGACGGUACCUAACCAGAAAGCCACGGCUAACUACGUGCCAGCAGCCGCGGUAA